rnacentral:rRNA from 1 species
UACGUAGGCAGCGAGCGUUGUUCGGAAUUACUGGGCGUAAAGAGUGUGUAGGCGGUGUUCCCAGUCUGUUGUGAAAUCUCCCGGCUUAACUGGGAGGGUGCAGCGGAAACUAGAAUGCUAGAGGGUGGGAGAGGUAAGCGGAAUUCCUGGUGUAGCGGUGAAAUGCGUAGAUAUCAGGAGGAACACCGAUGGCGAAGGCAGCUCGCUGGGACGGUACUGACGCUGAGGCGCGAAAGCGUGGGGAGCGAACAGG